CCAGCAGCCGCGGUAAUACGGGAGUGGCAAGCGUUAUCCGGAAUUAUUGGGCGUAAAGCGUCCGCAGGCGGCCCUUCAAGUAUGCUGUUUAAACGUGGAGUUUAACUCCAUCACCGCAGUGGAAACUGUUGGGCUCGAGUGUGGGAGCAGCAAGCCCAAUCAGUUUCGCAGCGCCGAAAUGCGUUAAUGUCGCAAAGAACACCACUAGAGAAGGCGUCCUGCUGCGCCAUCACUGACGCUCAUGGAAG
rnacentral:rRNA from 1 species